AGAGUGGGUCGGGCGAUCGCUGGUCACGAAAGUGACUGGAGGAAAGUCCGGGCAGGACAGGGCACGGUGGUGGCUAACGACCACCGGGGGCAACCUCAGGGACAGUGCCACAGAAAAUAUACCGCCAAUGGUCCCUUUGGGACACAGGUAAGGUUGAAAUGGUGCGGUAAGAGCGCACCGCAAUCCUGGUGACAGGAUUGGCAGGGUAAACCCCACCGCCUGCAAUACCAAGCAGCUGGCCGAGCCUUCGGGCUCAUGACUCGGCCCGGGUCACAACAGCGGGUAGGUAGCUUCCCUUCGGGGAGAGCCGGCUGGCAACAGUCGGUC
rnacentral:RNase_P_RNA from 1 species